CACGUAGGGUGCGAGCGUUGUCCGGAAUCAUUGGGCGUAAAGCGCGUGUAGGCGGCCCGAUAAGUCCGCUGUGAAAGUCCAGGGCUCAACCCUGGAAUGCCGGUGGAUACUGUCGGGCUCGAGUCCGGAAGAGGCGAGUGGAAUUCCUGGUGUAGCGGUGAAAUGCGCAGAUAUCAGGAGGAACACCGAUGGCGAAGGCAGCUCGCUGGGACGGUACUGACGCUGAGACGCGAAAGCGUGGGGAGCAAACAGG
rnacentral:rRNA from 1 species